CGGGCCCGCACAAGCAGCGGAGCGUGUGGUUUAAUUCGAUGCUACACGAAGAACCUUACUGGUUUGACAUAGCAGUGGUAGGGAAGAGAAAUCGGACCGACCCUUCGGGAGCUGUUACAGGUGUUGCAUGGCUGUCGUCAGCUCGUGUCGUGAGAUGUUCGGUUAAGUCCGCUAACGAGCGCAACCCGCGUUGUGUGUUAUAUGUGUCACACAAUACCGCCGGUAUUAAGCCGGAGGAAGGUGCGGAUGACGUCAAGUCAGCAUGACCUUUAUAUCCAGGGCUACACACACGCUACAAUGGACAGUACAACAGGUUGCCAAGCCGCGAGGCGGAGCCAAUCCUCUAAAGCUGUCCUCAGUUCAGAUUGCAGGCUGCAACUCGCCUGCAUGAAGUUGGAGUUGCUAGUAACCGCAGGUCAGCUAUACUGCGGUGAAUACGUUCCCGGGGAUU
rnacentral:rRNA from 1 species